rnacentral:lncRNA from 1 species
GGGUGGUAGGCCUCGCAAAGAAACUUUAUCCAUAAAAAAGGGAAAAGCAGUUAUUGGGAACACCAAAGCUCCACUCACACUCUUCACAACUCCCACCCACAGUGAAACCUUCCAUUAGAUCUCAUGACAGCAGGGGCACAAAGCAUCCACCACCUUCCAAAAUAAUAUAAUGACCUGUUCCCCCAAAACUUCAAGCCUACUCUUUCUGAAAUUUUCCAGGACAAACAGAGUUGUCUUUGAACAGAAAAAGUGACCCGUGGGGACGGGAGGCAGGGGCCAAAGGCUGUUGCUGGGAAGUUAAUGGAUUCUCCUUUUCUCUUCACCUUCAUCAUACUUUUG